AUACGAAAGGUGCAAGCGUUGUUCGGAUUUACUGGGCGUAAAGAGAGUGUAGGUUGUUUAUUAAGUCGGAUGUGAAAUCCCGGGGCUCAACCUCGGAACUGCAUUCGAUACUGGUAGACUAGAGUUCGAGAGGGGUAAGCGGAAUUCCGUGUGUAGCAGUGAAAUGCGUAGAUAUACGGAGGAACACCUGAGGCGAAGGCGGCUUACUGGACCGAUACUGACACUGAGACUCGAAAGCGUGGGUAGCAAACAGCAUUAGAAACCCGGGUAGUCC
rnacentral:rRNA from 1 species